UCCUACGGGAGGCAGCAGGGGGGAAUAUUGGGCAAUGGGGGAAACCCUGACCCAGCGACGCCGCGUGAGGGAAGACGGCCUUCGGGUUGUAAACCUCUUUUGUACGGGAAGAAGGAAGUGACGGUACUGUACGAAUAAGUCCCGGCUAACUACGUGCCAGCAGCCGCGGUAAUACGUAGGGGACGAGCGUUGUCCGGAAUUACUGGGCGUAAAGGGCGCGCAGGCUGUGCUGCAAGUCAGCUGUGAAAUGUCUGGGCUUAACCCGGGCAUGCGGUUGAGACUGCUGUGCUGGAGUGCUGUGGAGGCAAGUGGAAUUCCCAGUGUAGCGGUGAAAUGCGUAGAUAUUGGGAAGAACACCGGUGGCGAAGGCGACUUGCUGGGCAGCAACUGACGCUGAGGCGCGAAAGCCAGGGGAGCAAACGGGAUUAGAUACCCCGGUAGUCCUGGCCGUAAACGAUGAAUGCUAGGUGUGGGUGUAGAGAUACAUUCGUGCCGGAGUUAACGCGAUAAGCAUUCCGCCUGGGGAGUACGGUCGCAAGAUUGAAACUCAAAGGAAUUGACGG
rnacentral:rRNA from 1 species